rnacentral:rRNA from 1 species
UACGUAGGGGGCGAGCGUUGUCCGGAUUUACUGGGCGUAAAGAGCGCGCAGGCGGUCGUUCAAGUCGCGUGUGAAAGCCCCCGGCUCAACUGGGGAGGGUCACGCGAUACUGAUCGGCUCGAAGGCAGGAGAGGGUAGUGGAAUUCCCGGUGUAGUGGUGAAAUGCGUAGAUAUCGGGAGGAACACCAGUGGCGAAGGCGACUACCUGGCCUGUUCUUGACGCUGAGGCGCGAAAGCUAGGGGAGCAAACGGG